rnacentral:lncRNA from 1 species
GCAGAUGGAUUUCUUUCCAAGAUCUACUUGUAUGAAAAUCAAAGAAAAAUGAUAAAUGAACAACUUGCUAUGAGGGAUGACUUCUACACGACAACUCUGGAAUUGAAACAGACUUAACGCAAAUGUCCCAGUUCUGGGGGCUUCCUGCGUCUACAGUUCUAGGUUUCUAACGGUACCCUUGGGCACUGGAAACGCAAGGGCCUUCUGAAUCAUUAGUGGCAUUGACUGAGGAUACUAGGUGGUCUUUAGCUGUCAGUGGGUUGACCUGGAGGGUAUAAGAUGGCUUCAUGCAUGUGACUGGUAUCUCAGCAG